rnacentral:rRNA from 1 species
AAACCAACAGGGAUUGCCUCAGUAACGGCGAGCGAAGCGGCAAAAGCUCAAAUUUGAAAGCUAGCGUCAUUUUUGGCGUUCGCGUUGUAAUUUGAAGAUGGCAACUUUGGAAAUGGCCUUUGCACAUGUUCCUUGGAAUAGGACAUCAUAGAGGGUGAGAAUCCCGUACAUGGUGAGGUGCCCAUUUCUUUGUAAAGUGCUUUCUAAGAGUCGAGUUGUUUGGGAAUGCAGCUCUAAUUGGGUGGUAAAUUCCAUCUAAAGCUAAAUAUAGGCGAGAGACCGAUAGUGAACAAGUACAGUGAUGGAAAGAUGAAAAGAACUUUGAAAAGAGAGUGAAAAAGUACGUGAAAUUGUUGAAAGGGAAGGGCUUGAGAUCAGACUUGGAUUUUAGUGAUCAACUGUCUUUCGGGACUGUGCACUCGCUAUUUUCUAGGCCAACAUCAGUUUUGACGGUGGGAUAAUAGUAGAGGAAUGUGACUUUGCUUCGGUAAAGUGUUAUAGCCUCAUGCUGAUGCCACCAGUCGAGACUGAGGACCGCGCUUUAUAGCUAGGAUGUUGGCGUAAUGAUCUUAAGCCAC